AGAGUUUGAUCAUGGCUCAGAGUGAACGCUGGCGGCAGGCCUAACACAUGCAAGUCGAGCGGCAGCGCAGCAGUAGCAAUACUGUGGGCGGCGAGCGGCGGACGGGUGAGGAAUACAUCGGAAUCUACCUUCUUGUGGGGGAUAACGUAGGGAAACUUACGCUAAUACCGCAUAAGACCUGAGGGUGAAAGCAGGGGACCGCAAGGCCUUGCGCGAGAAGAUGAGCCGAUGUCCGAUUAGCUAGUUGGUGGGGUAAAGGCCCACCAAGGCGACGAUCAGUAGCUGGUCUGAGAGGACGACCAGCCACACUGGAACUGAGACACGGUCCAGACUCCUACGGGAGGCAGCAGUGGGGAAUUUUGGACAAUGGGCGCAAGCCUGAUCCAGCCAUUCCGCGUGAGUGAAGAAGGCCUUCGGGUUGUAAAGCUCUUUCGCAAGGGAAGAAAGAUUACGCUCUAACAUAGCGUGAUUAUGACGGUACCUUGAUAAGAAGCACCGGC
rnacentral:rRNA from 1 species